rnacentral:rRNA from 1 species
UACGGGGGGAGCAAGCGUUGUUCGGAUUUACUGGGCGUAAAGGGCGCGUAGGCGGUCAGCACAAGUCAGUUGUGAAAUCUCCGAGCUUAACUUGGAAAGGUCAACUGAUACUGUGCGACUAGAGUGCGGAAGGGGCAACUGGAAUUCUUGGUGUAGCGGUGAAAUGCGUAGAUAUCAAGAGGAACACCUGCGGCGAAGGCGGGUUGCUGGGCCGACACUGACGCUGAGGCGCGAAAGCUAGGGGAGCGAACGGG